rnacentral:rRNA from 1 species
AAUUUAUAUUGCCUGCUCAGUGAAAUAUUUUAACAGCCGCGCAAGUGCUAAGGUAGCAUAAUGAUUAGCCGCUUAAUUGGCGGCAAGAAUGAACGGUUUCACUAGGAUAGUAGUCAGUUACCCUCUGGCAAAUUUUUACUGCUAGUGAAAAUACUAGCAUGUUGGACCAGGACAAAAAGACCCUAUGAAGCUUUAUAACUGUAGUACAUUUUAUCUGUGACUUUUGUUAUUUUUUUGGGGUAAACUUAAAUAAUAUUAUUUAGAUUUAUAAAUUAGUAGAUCCUGUUUGAAUUGUGAACUAGCUCCUCUAGGGAUAACAGCAUUAUUCUAAUUAGAGACCUUAU